AGUGGGUCGGGAUGGUCACUAACAUGGAACCUGGUGUGGGUGGGGUGAGUGACUUUAUAUAUUUAUUUUUUUGCAUGAUAAAUAUGAGCAGCACAGCGGUUUAUAUGUAUAUUUAUCCAUAAAUGUGUAAAUAUUAAUUCUGCUGUUAAAAACAAAUAAAGAAAGGAGAGUGGUUAUUAUGUGCACAUCAACCUGAUCACUUUAUUUAGUGUUCAUGUAAACACUACAAUCAGAUUAAUCAGUCGUAAUGAAUUCAGUCUGAUUGAACCAAAAAGUGUGCAUGUAAAUGUAGCCAGUGAUUCUGAUAUAGCAAAGCCUUCUCUGCUCGCCCUGACAGCCCACCACUGAUAUAUAUAUAUAAAUUAUGAACUAAGAAUAAAGUUUGUUACAGAUGUGAACACUGAUUGCUAUUGUUGUUAAAAUCAAUUACCACAAGCAUUUUAGUUUUGUAGAACUCAAGUGUAAUAACACAUACAAUAUGUAAUUACUGCCUAAAAUGAAGUUUAUGAAGUCUAUAUGUGAUAAUUUUCUCAAAAUCUAAUAAAAUCUUGAGCAUAUAAUGUAAUUAAAAAACUAUGACAAAAGUAUUCCAUUAUAAACUCACCAAUAAUUCUGUCACAACAUUUGAAAUUGUAUUUUUUUUACAUUAAAAAACAUUGUUAUUCUCUUACAGUACCUUUGUGACUUAUCAUUUAUAAUACAUUUAUUGCUAUUGUUUAGGGCAUUCCAGCAAAACUAGGGAGCGCUCCAACUCUUCCGGUCAUCGAUCACACCAUGGAAGUUAUAGAAGGCACUUCACUUCUACUUCUAGACAUGGACAUUCCAGCAAAACAAGGGAGUGCACCAACCCUUCCAGUCACCAAUCAAGCCAUGGAAAUGAUAGGAGGCACUCCACUUCACAUUUUCAAUCACCCUUGGAUUCAUCUCCUGAGUGUUCUUCUUCUAGAUCUGGUAAGAUGUUCAAAUUUCACCUACAUAUUUCAUAGUGUUUUUAUAUCAGAUUGAAAUGGUUGGUUGUUAUUUACUUCAUUAAAUUUCUCUCUCCAGGAAAAAAAAGUCUGUAUGCAUAGGUCAAAGUUUGUGUGCAUGUGCGCAUAUUUUCCCGUCAAGUUUGUUUUUAUAUAAAUCACACCUUUUUGCGUCGGAAGUGCGCUAUGCCUCUUUCAGGGCAGAUUUUGUGCAUAUGCAACGGUUAUAAAUGAGUCCCCUGAUGUGUUUUCAAAGUGUUCCUUUAAUUGUUUUGAACAGUGUACAUACAUUCCCAUAUGUGUAGUACAUUAUGGUUCCAUAGAAAGAAUGAUCCUCCCUAUAAUUAGUCUACAAAAUUAUACGAUUUG
ensembl:lncRNA